UACGUAGGGUGCAAGCGUUGUCCGGAAUUAUUGGGCGUAAAGAGCUCGUAGGCGGUCUGUCGCGUCGGCUGUGAAAACCCGGAGCUCAACUCCGGGCCUGCAGUCGAUACGGGCAAACUGGAGUGUUGCAGGGGAGACUGGAAUUCCUGGUGUAGCGGUGAAAUGCGCAGAUAUCAGGAGGAACACCGGUGGCGAAGGCGGGUCUCUGGGCUGACACUGACGCUCAUGCACGAAAGCGUGGGGAGCAAACAGG
rnacentral:rRNA from 1 species